UCCCUGGUGGUCCAGUGGUUAGGACUCUGCACCUCUACUGCAGGGGCACGGGUUCAAUCCCUGGUUGGGGAA